rnacentral:rRNA from 1 species
CGUUCACGGGCCUUGUACACACCGCCCGUCACGCCACGAAAGCUUUUUGUACCCAAAGUUGCUUUAGCUAACCCGCAAGGGGGCGAGUACCUAAGGUAUGGGGAGUGAUUGGGGUG